rnacentral:rRNA from 1 species
GAUGAACGCUGGCGGCGUGCCUAACACAUGCAAGUCGAACGAAGCAAGAGAGCUUGCUCUCUUGACUUAGUGGCGGACGGGUGAGUAACGCGUGAGUAACCUGCCCUUCAGAGGGGGACAACAGUUGGAAACGACUGCUAAUACCGCAUAAGACCACGCUACCGCAUGGUAGAGGGGUCAAAGGAGCAAUCCGCUGAAGGAUGGACUCGCGUCCGAUUAGAUAGUUGGUGAGGUAACGGCCCACCAAGUCGACGAUCGGUAACCGGACUGAGAGGUUGAACGGCCACAUUGGGACUGAGACACGGCCCAGACUCC